GAUGAACGCUGGCGGCGUGCCUAAUACAUGCAAGCCGAGCGAACGGACGAGAAGCUUGCCUCUCUGAUGUUAGCGGCGGACGGGUGAGUAACACGUGGAUAACCUACCUAUAAGACUGGGAUAACUUCGGGAAACCGGAGCUAAUACCGGAUAAUAUUUUGAACCGCAUGGUUCAAAAGUGAAAGACGGUCUUGCUGUCACUUAUAGAUGGAUCCGCGCUGCAUUAGCUAGUUGGUAAGGUAACGGCUUACCAAGGCAACGAUGCAUAGCCGACCUGAGAGGGUGAUCGGCCACACUGGAACUGAGACACGGUCCAGACUCCUACGGGAGGCAGCAGUAGGGAAUCUUCCGCAAUGGGCGAAAGCCUGACGGAGCAACGCCGCGUGAGUGAUGAAGGUCUUCGGAUCGUAAAACUCUGUUAUUAGGGAAGAACAUAUGUGUAAGUAACUGUGCACAUCUUGACGGUACCUAAUCAGAAAGCCAUGGCUAACUACGUG
rnacentral:rRNA from 1 species